UACGUAGGGGGCAAGCGUUGUCCGGAUUUAUUGGGCGUAAAGAGCGUGUAGGCGGCCAGGUAGGUCUGCUGUGAAAACUCGAGGCUUAACCUCGAGAUGUCAUCGGAAACCAUCUGGCUAGAGUCCGGAAGAGGAGAGUGGAAUUCCUGGUGUAGCGGUGAAAUGCGCAGAUAUCAGGAAGAACACCAAUGGCGAAAGCAGCUCUCUGGGACGGUACUGGACGCUGAGACGCGAAAGCGUGGGGAGCGAACAGG
rnacentral:rRNA from 1 species